GAUGAAGAACGUAGCGAAAUGCGAUAAGUAAUGUGAAUUGCAGAAUUCAGUGAAUCAUCGAAUCUUUGAACGCACAUUGCGCCCCCUGGUAUUCCGGGGGGCAUGCCUGUCCGAGCGUCAUUACAACCCUCAAGCUCAGCUUGGUGUUGGGCCCCGCCGCCCCGGCGGGCCCUAAAGUCAGUGGCUGUGCCGUCCGGCUCCGAGCGUAGUAAUUCUUCUCGCUCUGGAGGCCCGGUCGUGUGCUCGCCAGCAACCCCCAAUUUUUUUCAGGUUGACCUCGGAUCAGGUAGGGAUACCCGCUGAACUUAAGCAUAUCAAUAAGCGGAGGA
rnacentral:misc_RNA from 1 species